GCGUAACUGCAAAUGGCUCAUUAUAUAAGUUAUCGUUUAUUUGAUAAUACUUUACUACUUGGAUAACCGUGGUAAUUCUAGAGCUAAUACAUGCUAAAAAUCCCGACUUCGGAAGGGUUGUAUUUAUUAGAUUAAAAACCAAUGCCCCUCGGGGCUCUCUGGUGAAUCAUGAUAACUAGUCGAAUCGACAGGCCUUGUGCCGGCGAUGGCUCAUUCAAAUUUCUUCCCUAUCAACUUUCGAUGUUUGGGUAUUGGCCAAACAUGGUGGCAACGGGUAACGGAGGGUUAGGGCUCGACCCCGGAGAAGGAGCCUGAGAAACGGCUACUACAUCCAAGGAAGGCAGCAGGCGCGCAAAUUACCCAAUCCCGACACGGGGAGGUAGUGACAAUAAAUACUGAUACAGGGCUCUUUUGGGUCUUGUAAUCGGAAUGAGUACAAUUUAAAUCCCUUAACGAGGAACAAUUGGAGGGCAAGUCUGGUGCCAGCAGCCGCGGUAAUUCCAGCUCCAAUAGCGUAUAUUAAAGUUGUUGUGGUUAAAAAGCUCGUAGUUGAACCUUGGGCCUGGCUGGCCGGUCCGCCUCACCGCGUGCACUGGUCCGGCCGGGCCUUUCCCUCUGCGGAACCCCAUGCCCUUCACUGGGUGUGGCGGGGAAACAGGACUUUUACUUUGAAAAAAUUAGAGUGCUCAAGGCAGGCCUAUGCUCGAAUACAUUAGCAUGGAAUAAUAGAAUAGGACGUGUGGUUCUAUUUUGUUGGUUUCUAGGACCGCCGUAAUGAUUAAUAGGGACAGUCGGGGGCAUCAGUAUUCAAUUGUCAGAGGUGAAAUUCUUGGAUUUAUUGAAGACUAACUACUGCGAAAGCAUUUGCCAAGGAUGUUUUCAUUAAUCAGGAACGAAAGUUAGGGGAUCGAAGACGAUCAGAUACCGUCGUAGUCUUAACCAUAAACUAUGCCGACUAGGGAUCGGACGAUGUUACAUUUUUGACGCGUUCGGCACCUUACGAGAAAUCAAAGUGCUUGGGCUCCAGGGGGAGUAUGGUCGCAAGGCUGAAAUUAAAGU
rnacentral:rRNA from 1 species